rnacentral:rRNA from 1 species
UACGAAGGGGGCUAGCGUUGUUCGGAAUUACUGGGCGUAAAGCGCACGUAGGCGGAUUGUUAAGUUAGGGGUGAAAUCCCAGGGCUCAACCCUGGAACUGCCUUUAAUACUGGCAAUCUAGAGUCCGAGAGAGGUGAGUGGAAUUCCGAGUGUAGAGGUGAAAUUCGUAGAUAUUCGGAGGAACACCAGUGGCGAAGGCGGCUCACUGGCUCGGUACUGACGCUGAGGUGCGAAAGCGUGGGGAGCAAACAGG